rnacentral:piRNA from 1 species
GAGAAAGUGCCGAGCUCACAUUUUGCGACU